rnacentral:rRNA from 1 species
UACAGAGGGUGCAAGCGUUGUUCGGAAUUAUUGGGCGUAAAGGGCGCGUAGGCGGUGCGGUAAGUCUGCGGUGAAAGUCUCCCGGCUCAACUGGGAGUCUGACCGUGGAACUGCCGUGCUUGAGUGUGGGAGAGGUGAGUGGAAUUCCCGGUGUAGCGGUGAAAUGCGUAGAUAUCGGGAGGACACCUGUGGCGAAAGCGG